GCUAGAAGAUGACGAGUGGCGGACGGCCUGAGUAAUGCUUGGGAACUUGCCUUUGCGAGGGGGAUAACAGUUGGAAACGACUGCUAAUACCGCAUAAUGUCUUCGGACCAAACGGGGCUUCGGCUCCGGCGCAAAGAGAGGCCCAAGUGAGAUUAGCUAGUUGGUAAGGUAACGGCUUACCAAGGCGACGAUCUCUAGCUGUUCUGAGAGGAAGAUCAGCCACACUGGGACUGAGACACGGCCCAGACUCCUACGGGAGGCAGCAGUGGGGAAUAUUGCACAAUGGGGGAAACCCUGAUGCAGCCAUGCCGCGUGUGUGAAGAAGGCCUUCGGGUUGUAAAGCACUUUCAGUUGUGAGGAAAAGUUAGUAGUUAAUACCUGCUAGCCGUGACGUUAACAACAGAAGAAGCACCGGCUAACUCCGUGCCAGCAGCCGCGGUAAUACGGAGGGUGCGAGCGUUAAUCGGAAUUACUGGGCGUAAAGCGCACGCAGGCGGUUUGUUAAGCUAGAUGUGAAAGCCCCGGGCUCAACCUGGGAUGGUCAUUUAGAACUGGCAGACUAGAGUCUUGGAGAGGGGAGUGGAAUUCCAGGUGUAGCGGUGAAAUGCGUAGAUAUCUCGAGGAACAUCAGUGGUGAAGGCGACUCCCUGGCCAAAGACUGACGCUCAUGUGCGACAAGUGUGGGUAGCGAACAGGAUUAGAUAC
rnacentral:rRNA from 1 species